GGCGAACGGGUGAGUAACACGUGGAUAACCUGCCCUCGGCACCGGGAUAGCCCGGGGAAACUUGGAUUAAUGCCGGAUGGCCCCACAUCCCUGCGGGGAACGUGGGAAAAGGUAGCUUCGGCCUCUGGCCGGGGAUGGGUCCGCGGUGGAUUAGCUAGUUGGUGCGGGUAAUGGCCCACCAAGGCGACGAUCCAUAGCUGGUCUGAGAGGACGAUCAGCCACACUGGGACUGAGACACGGCCCAGACUCCUACGGGAGGCAGCAGUAGGGAAUCUUGCGCAAUGGGCGAAAGCCUGACGCAGCGACGCCGCGUGCGGGAAGAAGGCCUUCGGGUUGUAAACCGCUUUCAGGAGGGACGAAGCCACUCGGGUUAAUAGCCCAGAGGGUGACGGUACCUCCAGAAGAAGCCCCGGCUAACUACGUGCCAGCAGCCGCGGUAAUACGUAGGGGGCAAGCGUUGUCCGGAUUCAUUGGGCGUAAAGAGCGUGUAGGCGGUCAGGUAGGUCGGUUGUGAAAACUGGAGGCUCAACCUUCAGAGGUCGACCGAAACCCCCUGGCUAGAGUCCGGGAGAGGAGAGUGGAAUUCCUGGUGUAGCGGUGAAAUGCGCAGAUAUCAGGAAGAACACCCGUGGCGAAAGCGGCUCUCUGGAACGGUACUGACGCUGAGACGCGAAAGCGUGGGGAGCGAACAGGAUUAGAUACCCUGGUAGUCC
rnacentral:rRNA from 1 species